rnacentral:rRNA from 1 species
GUGAAACCGCGAAUGGCUCAUUAAAUCACACCUAAUCUACUGGAUUGUUAAACAGUUACUUGGAUAACUGAGGUAAUUCUUGAGCUAAUACAUGCGAAAAACCCCGACUUUACGAAGGGGUGCUUUUAUUAGAUCAAAACCAAACAUCGUAAGAUGUAAAUUUGGUGACUCUGGAUAACUUUGGCUGAUCGCAUUGCCUUGUGCAGGCGACAUUUCCUUCGAAGGUGUGCCCUAUCAACUGUCGACUGUGAUAUAGACGCUCACAGUGGUUUUGACGGGUAACGGGGAAUCAGGGUUCGAUUCCGGAGAGGGAGCCUUAAAAACGGCUACCACAUCCAAGGAAGGCAGCAGGCACGCAAAUUACCCAAUGAACGCAGUUCGAGGUAGUGACGAAAAAUAACAAUACCAGACUCUUCCGAGGCCUGGUAAUUGGAAUGAGUACACUUUAAAACCGUUCCCGAGGAUCUAUUGGAGGGCAAGUCUGGUGCCAGCAGCCGCGGUAAUUCCAGCUCCAAUAGCGUAUAUUAAUGUUGUUGUGGUUAAAAAGCUCGUAGUUGGAUUUCGGCGGAUAUUGGCCGGUUUGAAUUGUUUCAAUACUGGUUAUAUUGUCCGUGUAUAUUGCCAGAAUUCAACGGGUGAACUUCGCCGUUUGUCCGUUUGGAGCUGGCAGGUUUACUUUGAAAAAAUUAGAGUGCUCAAAGCAAGCUUUUAUGCUUGAAUAUUCGUGCAUGGAAUAAUAGAAUAGGAAGUCGUUUCUAUUUUGUUGGUUUUCAGAAUCGACUUAAUGAUUAAUAGGGAUAGUCGGGGGCAUUUGUAUUCAAACGACAGAGGUGAAAUUCUUGGACCGUUUGAAGACAAACUACUGCGAAAGCAUUUGCCAAGAAUGUUUUCAUUAAUCAAGAACGAAAG